GAGGGUAUAGCUCAGUGGUAAAGUGCAUGCUUAGCAUGCACGAGGUCCUGGGUUCAAUCCCCAGUACCUCCA
rnacentral:tRNA from 1 species